rnacentral:rRNA from 1 species
AAACGCUUGAAGUCAGUCGCGUCUUCCAGGGAUCAAGUUACCUAUGGGUGACCGCACUUUCUGGUCGACGGGUCAGCAUCAAUUUUGAUCGUUGGAUAAGGGCCUCGGGAAUGUGGCAUCUUCGGAUGUGUUAUAGUCUCUGAUCGUAUACAGUGGUUGGGACUGAGGAACUCAGCAUGCCGCAAGGAUGGGUCUAUUAGACUACACUACAUGCUUAGGAUGCUGGCAUAAUGGCUUUAAUCGA